UGACGUAUAGUUUAAGUUUCACGUAUAUUCGCGCACUAGUGUUUCGUUCCGCGUAGAAUGUGAUGUGCUCCGACAUCCGUUGACGUAUAGUUUUGAGUUUCAUGUAUCAUCGUGCACUAGCGUUUCAUUCCACGUAGGUUACCUGUUCGGGUAAGUAAGAUAGCAUAGACGACAUAAUAUAACGGCGCUUGCCCGAUUUGUUAGUCACGGUUUCUAAGUGAGGACCUUUAAUGAGUUUCGACAUAAGCUUUACAAAGGUCCUAAAUGCAUGUUAUCCAAAACUCUCAAAGUUUGCUUAAUGUAUGAAUCUGCUUCGUGAACCGUGUAUCAACACAACACUAGUCGUUCUGUACGUGUUCAAGCCUUAAUAAUCUAAGUCCCCAUAGGAAAGUGAGGUUAGAG
rnacentral:lncRNA from 1 species